AUGCGUAGGUCAGUUUUCGUCCACAUCGUCGAGGCUUGCGAGCAAAAUUGUCGUUUCUUCACUCGGCGUAGGAAUGUCGCCUGUUUGAUUGGCUUUAGCAUAUCAAAAAAUAUCAGCGGCAAUGAGAGCGAUUGCUUAUGGUGUUCCCGCCGACUACGCGGACGAAUAUCUUCGCAUUGGCGAAGGUACCACUAUCAAAUGUGUCUAUCUCUUUGCGAAGAUAAUGAUCCGGUUUUUUGGCCCGGAGUACCUUCGAGCACCAAACGAAGAAGACACAAAGAAGCUCAUGACAAUGAACGAAGCAAAAGGGGAUGCCUGGGCAUGCUUGGUAGUAUUGAUUGCAUGCAUUGGAGGUGGAGAGCUGCCCAAUGGCUUGGGUAG
rnacentral:rRNA from 1 species